rnacentral:lncRNA from 1 species
AUAUCUCGACGUCAAGUGACGGCAACAUGGUGAUGAUAUUCGCCAAAUGGAUGUUGGCACCGAAUACGACGAUGUUCAAUCCUACUUGGCAGGUUGGUCCUGCAGUGGACUUAGUGGCACAUGAGUUUCUUCCUGAAAAUUUGAAUGCUUAUGCUGUUAAUACGACGUUGGUGACCGAUGGAAGUGGAGAUUCUCCUCCGAUGACACCUCCAAUGACUCCUCCGACGACUGAGCCAAGUUCGGCUACGACCUUUGGGAGCUCCAUGUUUUGUGCU